UACGUAGGUGGCAAGCGUUGUCCGGAAUUAUUGGGCGUAAAGCGCGCGCAGGCGGCCUCUUAAGUCUGAUGUGAAAGCCCCCGGCUCAACCGGGGAGGGCCAUUGGAAACUGGGAGGCUUGAGUAUAGGAGAGAAGAGUGGAAUUCCACGUGUAGCGGUGAAAUGCGGUAGAGAUGUGGAGGAACACCAGUGGCGAAGGCGACUCUUUGGCCUAUAACUGACGCUGAGGCGCGAAAGCGUGGGGAGCAAACAGG
rnacentral:rRNA from 1 species